rnacentral:rRNA from 1 species
GAUGAACGCUGGCGGCGUGCCUAAUACAUGCAAGUCGAGCGAAUGGAUUAAGAGCUUGCUCUUAUGAAGUUGGCGGCGGACGGGUGAGUAACACGUGGGUAACCUGCCCAUAAGACUGGGAUAACUCCGGGAAACCGGGGCUAAUACCGGAUAACAUUUUGAACCGCAUGGUUCGAAAUUGAAAGGCGGCUUCGGCUGUCACUUAUGGAUGGACCCGCGUCGCAUUAGCUAGUUGGUGAGGUAACGGCUCACCAAGGCAACGAUGCGGAGCCGAACUGAGAGGGUGAUCGGCCACACUGGGACUGAGACACGGCCCAGACUCCUACGGGAGGCAGCAGUAGGGAAUCUUCCGCAAUGGACGAAAGUCUGACGGAGCAACGCCGCGUGAGUGAUGAAGGCUUUCGGGUCGUAAAACUCUGUUGUUAGGGAAGAACAAGUGCUAGUUGAAUAAGCUGGCACCUUGACGGUACCUAACCAGAAAGCCACGGCUAACUACGUGCCAGCCGCCGCCGUAA